GAAAGCAUCUAAGCACGAAACUUGCCCCGAGAUGAGUUCUCCCUGACCCUUUAAGGGUCCUGAAGGAACGUUGAAGACGACGACGUUGAUAGGCCGGGGGUGUAAGCGCAGCGAUGCGUUGAGCUAACCGGUACUAAUGAACCGUGAGGCUUAACCUUACAACGCCGAAGGUGUUU
rnacentral:rRNA from 2 species